AGAGUUUGAUCCUGGCUCAGGAUGAACGCUAGCGGCAGGCCUAAUACAUGCAAGUCGAACGGUAAAUAUUUAGCAAUAAAUAUGAGAGUGACGUACGGGUGCGUAACACGUAUGCAACCUACCCUUUACAGGCGGAUAGCUCGGGGAAACUCGAAUUAACCCGCCGUAAUAUAAUUGGAUGGCAUCAUCUGGUUAUUAAAUCUACGGAGGUAAAGGAUGGGCAUGCGUCUGAUUAGUUAGUUGGCGGGGUAACGGCCCACCAAGACGAUGAUCAGUAGGGGAACUGAGAGGUUGAUCCCCCACACUGGCACUGAGAUACGGGCCAGACUCCUACGGGAGGCAGCAGUAGGGAAUAUUGGUCAAUGGAUGGAAGUCUGAACCAGCCAUGCCGCGUGCAGGAAGAAGGCCUUCUGGGUUGUAAACUGCUUUUGCCAGGGGAUAAAAUGACCUUGCGAGGUUAAUUGAAGGUACCUGGUGAAUAAGCCACGGCUAACUACGUGCCAGCAGCCGCGGUAAUACGUAGGUGGCAAGCGUUGUCCGGAUUUAUUGGGUUUAAAGGGUGCGUAGGCGGCUUAUUAAGUCAGUGGUGAAACACUCUAGCUCAACUAGAGGGGUGCCAUUGAUACUGAUGAGCUUGAGUACAGAUGAGGUAGGCGGAAUUGACGGUGUAGCGGUGAAAUGCUUAGAUAUCGUCAAGAACACCUAUAGCGAAGGCAGCUUACUAGGCUGUAACUGACGCUGAGGCACGAAAGUGUGGGGAUCAAACAGGAUUAGAUACCCUGGUAGUCCACACUGUAAACGUUGAUUACUCGCUGUGUGCGAUAUACAGUACGCGGCCAAGCGAAAGCGAUAAGUAAUCCACCUGGGGAGUACGCCGGCAACGGUGAAACUCAAAGGAAUUAACGGGGGUCCGCACAAGCGGUGGAGCAUGUGGUUUAAUUCGAUGAUACGCGAGGAACCUUACCUGGACUAGAAUGCCCUUGACCGAUCCAGAGAUGGAUUUUUCCGCGAGGACAAGGAGCAAGGUGCUGCAUGGCCGUCGUCAGCUCGUGCCGUGAGGUGUUGGGUUAAGUCCCGCAACGAGCGCAACCCCUAUUUUUAGUUGCCAACAGGUUAAGCUGGGGACUCUAAAAAGACUACCCGCGCAAGCGGAGAGGAAGGAGGGGACGACGUCAGGUCAUCAUGGCCCUUACGUCCAGGGCUACACAC
rnacentral:rRNA from 1 species